rnacentral:lncRNA from 1 species
UAGAACUCUUUACAAGAGCUCAUAGAUUCCUCUAUAUCUUUGUAUAAGCCAUUCCACCAAUAGCAUUCUUUGAUCUUAGUAUAGAUAGCUCAAACUUCUCUAUGCUCAACCCUCAAUAUAUCAUAAAACUCACCUAAUACCUUAUGUUUGGUCUUCAAAUCAUCCACCACUCUCAAUGAUAAUCUAUUUCUUUUUUUUUGGCCUCUCCCAUAAGAAUCUAUCAUAUUAAAGAUAAUUAUAAGAUUGGCGCUUAAUAUCCUUAAAGAUUUUAUCUAACCAAUCCUCUUACCUCUCUAAUGAGCACAAAUAUAAG